GACGAACGCUGGCGGCGUGCUUAACACAUGCAAGUCGAGCGGUAAGGCCCUUCGGGUACGACGAGCGGCGAACGGGUGAGUAACACGUGGGUGGACUUGCCCUCAGCUCUGGGAGUAAGCCUGGGAAACCGGGGUACGUAAUACCGGAUAUGACUCCAUGACGCAUGUUGUGGGGUGGAAAGCCUUGUGCGGCUGAGGAUGGGCCCGCGGCCUAUCAGCUUGUUGGUGGGGU
rnacentral:rRNA from 1 species